rnacentral:rRNA from 1 species
AGCUUAAAGAAAUUAAAUUUUAAGUUUAACCUGCCCUGUGAAAUUAUAGUUUAACGGCUGCGGUACCUUGACCGUACUAAGGUAGCAUAAUCAAUUGGCUUUUAAAUGGAGUCUAGAAUGAACGGGAAAUUGGAGUUUAACUUUUUUAAAUAAACUUUAUUGAACUUACUUUUAAAGUGAAAAAGCUUUUUUAUGAAAAAAGACGAGAAGACCCUAGGAGUUUAAAAGAAAUUUUUGUUGGGGCGACAUUAAAAAUUUAACUUUUAAAAAUUGAAAUUAUCAACUUUUAGUUAUAAUUUAUAAACUACCCUAGGGAUAACAGCAUAAUUCUUAUGAGAUUGUGACCUCGAUGUUGGGACUAGGGAAAUAUAAAUUACUAGCAGUUAUUAUAUAAUGUUCUGUUCGAACUUUAUUCUCCU